rnacentral:misc_RNA from 1 species
UUUCCGUAGGUGAACCUGCGGAAGGAUCAUUAUUGUAUAACCGGGGUGGGAGGGCUGUCGCUGACCCGAAAGGUCGUGCACGCCCGAGUGCCCUCACACACAUCCAUCUCACCCCUAUGUGCACCACCGCGUGGGUCCCCCUUUGGCUUGUUCGGAGGGGUGCUUACGUUUUCACACAAACUUUGUAUGCAGUGUAGAAUGUAUUUUUUGUUUUUGCGAUCACGCAAUCAAUACAACUUUCAACAACGGAUCUCUUGGCUCUC